UGCAAUUGGGCGUAUGCAGCUGCAGUUCACUGGCCUUGCUCACCGAGGAAGAUACAUGAUAUUCACUCGAAAUAUGAUAAAACUAAAUUCAGGAUAUCCUACCUUGGCGGGGAGAAGAAGUCCGGCUUCGCAUCAGAGGGGUGCUGACACCUAGCGCAACGAAAAAUGGACAUGGUGACAUGUCCAAGGAUCAGGUAGGAGGUUUUAUUUAAACCCAAAUUAGCGUUGCGCAACCUUACACUAAGCUUUAUUAACAUAAAGUCCUACAUGUACAAGGCUAAUAGCGACUGCUUCAUAUUUUUUUACUUUUUAUGUGGACUAGGCCUACUGGGGAAACCACUAUAAAAAAAACGCACCAAGUGUUCUACCUCAGGGGUGGUGUGGAAAAGAACGCUUCAUAUCAAAUUCUCUGGUUUAAAUAAACAAUUGAAAAUUUCCGUUUUGAUAUUUUUAACCUGACCUUUAAUGUUUCUCAUGCACCGCUCCUCAUCUCUGAGUAACAUUCAUAAUUAUGGGAGCUUCAAUAGGAGACUGACCGACAGACUGACACUAGUUUUUAAUAUUGUUCAUAUAUAAAUUGUUUCACGUUCAAAAGUGGCAUAUCCUGGUCUAAUUGAAAUAAUGAAUUUGACUUUAAUUAAAAAAAUAUAGUACCUCUCGUCACGUAGUUAAUUCGGAGAGUUUUUAAGCUUUCAUGCAUUACUGAGAGCCUAGGGACAUCACUCGCAUUUUUGAUAUCUUUCAUAAAAUUAUUUUAGGAUACUGGCAUGGUUUAUAUUUUUUUAAUAUUUUGAAAUUCGACUUUUUCUUGUCAUUCUAAAUGCAAACAAGUGAACAUUACAACACUAUAGAGGCGUGACGGUUGGCCGAUAAGACAUAACGCCAUUUUGAAUUGGUGAAUGCCAAUUGUCAUCAUUAUUUUAAUGGUUUCAAUCUCACUCAUCGCAUUGACGCAUUCAUUUGGGUACAAUUAAUAAUAGUGUCCUGUCCUGUCUCGAGUCGAAGUUACUUAUUACUAAUUUGUUAUCAAGUAAAAAUGGAGUGGACGAACUUGAAGACUAUGGAAACGUGCAACUACGCAGUUGUUCGAAAUCGCAAGAUGGGUGCAGUUACGUAAGAUUCGCUGUUGCUGCUGUGCAGAUGGGUUAGAACUUUAGAAGACUGGGAGUCGAGAAUGGACGAUAUUACUUGAGGAUAUCGGCGAAAGGUAUAAUAGCGGCCAAUAGAACGAAGCAUAACUGACUCGUCUCAGUUUGGCUUUGUUCACCACAUUUCAUAUGCAUUCCCAUUACC